UUCUCCUACGGGACGCAGCAGUGAGGAAUAUUGGUCAAUGGGCGGGAGCCUGAACCAGCCAAGUCGCGUGGGGGAAGACGGUCCUAUGGAUUGUAAACCUCUUUAGGCGGGGAGCAAUGCCGGGCACGUGUGCCCGGAGGGAGAGUACCCGCAGAAUAAGCAUCGGCUAACUCCGUGCCAGCAGCCGCGGUAAUACGGAGGAUGCGAGCGUUAUCCGGAUUUAUUGGGUUUAAAGGGUGCGUAGGCGGAACAUUAAGUCAGCGGUAAAAUCGAGGGGCUCAACCCCUUUAAGCCGUUGAAACUGG
rnacentral:rRNA from 1 species